UUGACCUCAAAUCAGGUAGGACUACCCGCUGAACUUAAGCAUAUCAAUAAGCGGAGGAAAAGAAACUAACGAGGAUUCCCCUAGUAACUGCGAGUGAAGCGGGAAGAGCUCAAAUUUGAAAUCUGACGGUUUUCUUGAUCGUCCGAGUUGUAAUCUAGAGAAGUGCUAGCUGUG
rnacentral:rRNA from 1 species